rnacentral:lncRNA from 1 species
GAAGUGGCAAGCCCCAAAGAACGAAAUUACCUUUCUCCUUUAGGUGCGGUUGCUCAUGGAGACCAGAAGAGUGUGUUGAGUACCCUGCAAUGACAGAAUUUGUGUGGCGUGAGUGACUGAAAACCUAAAAAGGAGCUGUAUGCACUCUUGACCAUGGAGCUAUUCAUUUUUUAUUCAUUAUUAUUUAUUCACUUUCCACCCCGCUCUCCGUUCCCUUCUGGGACACCCCCUUCUCACAAUUUCCUCCCCGUCCCACUCCACCCUCUCUCACCUUGCCUAUUUUUAAAGUCUUAAAAAAAAAUCACUCAUUUGUAUACAACUUCAGCUGCUGGCGGGAUGGAUUUAAAAAUACUACCCAGCUGUUAGUCUUGCUUUUCUUUUGGUAGCAGCAGCAGUCGGAUAGGAACUUGCCUAGCGACCAUUGCGGUUUCGAGCGGUAAACACAACCGCGCGGCCCCUCCCCACCUCCUGCGC